GAUGAAGAACGUAGCGAAAUGCGAUAAGUAAUGUGAAUUGCAGAAUUCAGUGAAUCAUCGAAUCUUUGAACGCACCUUGCGCUCCUUGGUAUUCCGAGGAGCAUGCCUGUUUGAGUGUCAUUAAAUUCUCAACCUUAUUAGCUUUUGCUGAUAAUGGCUUGGACUUGGGGGUCUUUUUGCUGGCUUUCAUUAGUCUGCUCCCCUUAAAUGUAUUAGCCGGUGCCCCGCAGUGGAACCGUCUAUUGGUGUGAUAAUUAUCUACGCCGUGGACGUCUGCUAUAAUGGGUUUGCGCUGCUUCUAACCGUCUCUCGGGACAACACAAAUGACAAUUUGACCUCAAAUCAGGUAGGACUACCCGCUGAACUUAAGCAUAUCAAUAAGCGGAGGA
rnacentral:misc_RNA from 1 species